UAGCGAGGAAAAAAACCACCCUGUGAACCCGAUGUGCCCCCGUUCAAGGUCCGCAAGAGGCUGUCCGGGAGGAGGAAGCAGCAGAUAAGGAGCACUGACGGUGUGAUAAGUGUCUCUGAGAGAAAAGUCCAAGGUUUCAGUGUGAGCUUCACUGUGCAGAAUGAUGGAUGUGCAGAGUUUGACACCAGAAGGAUGUUUUCACAUUCACCUGCUGAAAGUUUCUUUGUGCUCAUCGACAGUCUACGAGCAUGAUUUGUGACAUCACAAAUAGUUUGGAAGUCAGUCCUGGGUCAGUGUUUCGUGGACACUCAACAUGCAAACCCCAACAUUUCCGACGGUCCGUGAAUGCAGCAUUACCGCAGCGUUCUCAGCAGGGCUGCACUAACAGACAACAAGGAAGCAGAAUAACGGAGCGCAUCUGACGGUGCUCCCACAGAGGUCCAUCACGGGACAACGCGCCGAGCUGCGGAUUGUCUGAAUCCUGAUUGAAACACAUGAAUACAACAAUCGUUGGCACUCAAACCACAUCGUUCAUUAAUGUAGGCCUGCUGGCGUUUCAGGCACACACCCUCCAGCCAAAGGGCAACAGUGCUGCAACAUGCACGGGUGUGCUUUUAUAAGAUUGAUCAGAUUAAUAAAGUUAAGCAAUGUAGUCAACGGGGGGGGUCAUAUACCUGAGGCCAUCAGACCCACCCUCCUUGGAUUAUCUAUAUGGUCUUUUAAUAUUAGCUCUGGGAACCAUAACACAUAGUGUAUUCCUAUCUAUGUGUAAUAAUGCCUACAGAUGCAACAUUAAAAAGCAUCUAUACACUUUAAGUGUAUAUAAUACUUCAAGUAUUAGUAGAGUUAGUGGACACAUAUUUACAUGUAUAAAUCUGGUUAUUUUCUCCAAUGGUUCCAGGCCCUUUUACACCUCAGAUUAAAAAUGCAUUCACACAGCCUUCACUUUAGACUCCUGAAAAAACACAAAAGCCCAGGCAGAAGGAAUACAAAUGAUUCUUUACUUUACUUUUCUAUAUGUACAAAUCCCUCCUGUAUCUGUAUAACCUCCUUUUUAUAUCACAAUCUCACAACAAAUUCAUAACGACGGGUAAUGUCCCCUCACAAUAAAUAACUUAAUAUAA